rnacentral:lncRNA from 1 species
UUGGAGCUGCUGCUGACCAAGUUGAAAAGUAUCAAGCUAUGCGUUUUGGGUCUUCUAGUACAGAAGAGUCUAUCCCUCAGAUAUUAUUGCUCGCUAUCACAAAGGAUGCACUGCAAACUAAAGCUGGAUCCCAGGGUGGAAUGACUGGAUCAUGCAUGCCAAUGUAA